ACUUCACAACACCCACCUGCCUUCACCACACCUCACUCGCUAUACCCUGCACUCGUCACCACAGCCUGCGCCACACCACCACACCCUCACCACUGUACUUCACGGCUAUGGGGUAAUGUAGGCUGGACUUUCACCACAGAGGCGUUGAGGAGCGUAGGAUAACACUCACUAUUGCCACCACACCUUGGACAUCACUACUCACAACUCACUACCUGUGGCCGCCCGCCCAGAAAUAAUUGAGGUCUGGUAUGGCAUCACACUGACUGUUGCUGCAAGGAGAGGACAGCACCACACACUGCUGCACACAACACCACUGCACGGACCCAAUCCUUCCCAUCACCACGGCUCCUCCAACUCAGGCUCUGGGAAGCUUUGGUGAUGUCCUCAGGCAGGUUGUGGUGACAAGGGUACUACAAAGAGUGGGUGCUGUCACUUCCUCAGGUGGUCAGUUGUCACUAGGCUGUUGCUGACCUUCAUGCAAAGGUACACAACACUGCCACCGGGAAAUACAUACAGGAAAUAUAAACAGGCUUCUGUAAACUAAUGCUAUGGUGUUGUAUGGGUUAGGCAGGUAAAGUUAUAAGUAACAUAAUUGUGCUGAACCAUAAAGAAAUAACCACAUAGAAAAAUAAUUCAAUCUAGAAAAAAAAUCAAAUGAAAACGUCAAGAACUUAUAUAAAGUACACACUGGUUGGAAAGCUCUAAAACAGCUUUGGUGUCACUGGGCAAGAUUUACAAAAAAGCUUUCAGAACAGGAAUGGAGCAAGGGGUGUUGACACAAACAAUGCCCAAGAAUAUGACUUUCUUCAAAUAACGUUCAGGUUUCAAAAUGAAGGAGUAACAAGCUUGCUGAAGGUGGUGUUUGAAGGAAUGCAACGCUCCCUGGUGAUGUGGACUGCCUGUACAUAUCAACAAUGUCUCCGACACCACACGCUUAA